rnacentral:rRNA from 1 species
GAUGAACGCUGGCGGCGUGCCUAAUACAUGCAAGUCGAGCGAACAGACGAGGAGCUUGCUCCUCUGACGUUAGCGGGGUACGGGAGAUUAACACGUGCAUAACCUACCUGUAGGACUGGGAUAACUUCGGGAAACCGGAGCUAAUACCGGAUAAUAUAUUCAACCUCUUGGUUCAAUAUCUAAAGACGGUUUUUCUGUCACCUAUAGAUUGAUCCGCGCCGGAUUAGAUAGUUGGUAAGGUAACGGCUUAUCAAGGCAAUGAUGCGUAGCAGCCCUGAGAGGGUGAUCAGCAGCACGGGGAAGGAGACACGGUCCAGAAUCGUGCGGGAGGCAGCGGCCGGGAAUCUUCCGCAAUGGGCGGUAGGCUGACGGAGCAAAGGCGCGUGAGUGAUGAAGGUCUACGGAUCGUAAAACACUGUGAUUAGGGAAGAACAAAUGUGUGUGUAACUAUGCGCGUCUUGACGGUACCUAAAGAGGAAGCAACGGCUAACUACGUG